rnacentral:sRNA from 1 species
AGCAAAAGAAGUCAUCAUCCAGGUGCUGACCCCAUAUGCUGUCUCGACUGCAAUGACAAAGUAUCUAAAUACCAAUGUGAUAACCAAGACUGCUGAUGAGUUUGUCAAAGAGUCAUUGAAUUAUGUCACAAUUGGAGGUGAAACCUGUGGCUGCCUUGCCCAUGAAAUCUUGGAACUGGAUCUCUCUCUCUGUCUUUCAUGGAUGGUAGAAGGAUUCAUGGCUCCAUGCGCUGAAGUCUCCCAAAGCAUUCCUUUAUCUGCUGGGACUUAAAGAAGACUCUGGCAAGACAUAUUGAACUUUCUCAAUUACUUGCUAUUUUUAUGUAGAACCUCAACAAUGUGCAGAAUCACCAAUGUAACUCACACUACAAAGCAGACAUGCAGAGAGGAUAUAAGGUCUUUCUUUUUUCUGUUGCUGAUCUGGUCUUUUCCCAGAUCACUACUUGCUGCAGGAAAAUUCAUCGAAUGUCCAAUGAGUCUAAACUGAGUUUGAUCUAGUCAUCUCAACUGGCCAUUUAGGAA